UUGCCCUCUGUGUGAAACAAAACCCUCGACUAUCCAUAGCUUGACAAGCUGCUCACGUGUGAAAAGAUAAUCUUGUGGGAACAUGCUGCAAUACAAAAAACAGUUCUUGAGGUGUCUUGGCAGGUACGUGAAGCUUAUGCUUAGUGCACUUCUUACUUUGCCUAGGCUAGGGUUGUCCUCCAACUCACAUUUAAACUGAUUAUCCAUUCUUCUCCAUGUUAUCUCGUCUGGUUCUUGUACAGUUAGUACAUUUCCUAUUGCAUUAAUUGCAAGUGGCAAGCCUCCACACUUGCUCACAAUCUGCCUAGAUAAUUCAUUGAGAUGAGAAGGGCACUCCAUGUUGCUAUUCUGAAAAGUCCUUCUACAAAAUAGUUCAAAUGCAUCAUCACUGCUGAGUGGCUUAAGCUUCAUCUUGUACAUUUCUUGAGCCAGUGAAGCAACAUCAUUAUUCCUAGUUGUGAUAAUUAUCCGACUGCCUUUGUGGUCAUCCAUUAAUAGGUCAGACAACUCGUUAAAAGCUCUUGUAUCCCAAACAUCAUCGAGUACAAUCAAGUACCUCUUAUUUGACAACACUCCCCUUAAUGUAUCAUUGAGCUUGUUAUAGUGCAUAGUGCCAAGGUCGGCAGGAAUUUUGCCUUGGUCCUCAUUUAACUCCUGAAUCAACUGCCUCAAUGUAACAAUAAUGCCAUAGUUAUGUGAUAUUGCAAUCCAUGCAUAACAAUCAAAACUUUUUCGUUCCAUCUCCAAAUCAUAUACCUUCCUGACAAGGGUAGUUUUGCCUAGUCCACCAAAACCCCACACUGAUAUUACUACAAGAUUGGUUUCCUUGGGAUCUAGCCAUUCGCGCAGCAGUUCCAUGUCUUCCUUCAUGCCAACAAUGCCCUCUACUUUAAUGGCAUGAGGGUUCUCACUAUUUGUUGGGGAUUGAACUUGAGUGUUGUUACUUGUGUUAUCAAGUAACUCAUUGAACAUUUCUCUGUAGUCUCUUUUGAGCUGUGACAGGUGUUUGAUCUCUUCCUCAAUGUCUUUCAUUCCUGAAGCAAUGCCGUGAAAAAUAUUUGCAUAGUAGGUUGUGUGUACCACCCUCUUGAAAUAGCCUUCUUCCUGUAAGAGAGUGAUGUUAUAACAGUAGUCAUCUAUUAUGUCCUCAACACAAUAUGCAACCUUCCGCACCCUCACUAUCCAGCCUUCAAGAACUUUAUUGCUGUAGAUUUUUGACCCAACUUGGCUUAAGAAAUGAUGAAUCAUGUCCAAUUCCCUCUCGAUGCGUUUUGCAGUCCGUGUUAAAUCUGGCGAUGGUGUGGCUUCUUUCUUUACGAGAGACUGCAGUGAUGCCAUUCCAAAAGAGGUAACAAGUUUGCUAAGAGCUAGGACUACUGCUGCCUCUGCCAUAUUUUGUCUUCUUCACUAAUGAUGUGGUCUUUUGGAUAUGCUAGUUUACUCAACCAGAUUUCACCUUCAUUUAUGUUCUUCACUGAUCCUGUCGAAUACAAUAUAAAUUUCAGCUUUUGAGUGCAUUAGUGACCGACUAUCCAUAUUGAAUGUAUGUUAUCACUUAUUCCAACUUACCCCCAGCUAGAUAUCCAUAUUGAAUGUAUUUUAUCACUUAUUCUAACUUACCCCACGCCAUAUGUAAUAUAUCAUAAGCUUGUUAGAUGAACUUUAGAUCUUCAGGUGAAGGAAGGACACUAAAUUGUGUCUAUUAUAAAUUCACAUAGCAUGCUACAUAAUGAUAUGCAUGCGAUACAUAACUUAACAUGUGAGUUGCCAUCAACAUUAGGAGAUAUAGAAUAAUUUUAACUUGUUAAACAUGGUAGUGUUUGUAAAUCUUGUAGGAGUAAAGCUCUACUCUGGAAUAAUUCAGGGUCAUGUUUAGUUCCAUUCAAAAUGCAGAAUUUAUUGCCCUCAUGAGGGCCUCAUGAGGCUCUUUUGGGUUUUUUUGGCCUCUUGAGGCCAAAAUCCAAAAUGGAGAAUAACUACCUUUUUGCCAAAAAAAAUUGCAUGGUGUUUAGUUCCAUUUUGCAAAAUAAUGAACCAAAACCUAAUUUUUUUUUGGAAUAUGAAGGGAACUAAACACCCACUAUGUUUACUGCAAAGUUUUGUUUUCGCAUAAGUAACUUGAUGCUACAACUAUAUCAAAGCAAGGUACCUGGUGAUAGCAUUUCAGUUAUAUAAUGCCUUAGCUGCUUUUAUUUUGUAUUUAUCGAUGAUGAUAUCUUCAAUGCAUUUGCAAAAGCGAAGGCAGAUGAACUAAAAUCAUGUUGUAUGCCUCACACACAGAUUGAGAUGUUCCCCGCGACCACGAAAUAAAUAGACAAGGAACACAACUGAAUCCUGCAUACAUCUUGAAUGAGAUUGCGCACCUUACGUGAUGGAAGAUCCCGAAGGGAAGAGCACAGAGCUAAAGACGAAAUUCAGUGGCGUGUUGUGAAUUUUCGAGUUCAGUACUGGACCCAUGAAGAAAUAUAUACAAGCAUCAGGUAUUCAAGUCAAGGCAUCCUUCUAUGCGUUGGAGGUUCGGAACAGAAGAAAAAAAAACGUGUUACGUGUUUACAGAUACAGAAUGAUCGAACCAACAUAGACUCAGUCAAUCAGGACCGUUUGGAAACUUUGAACGGUUAUUUAUUCCUUCCGUCGUGACGUUUGGGCAGGAAACACGAGGUCUAAGGUCAAAUUUGCGUGUUCUGUAGGACACGGCGACGUCUGAAAAGAGGCCUUUCCAUCAAGGGGGUGAGUCACGACCAGAUUUUGCAUAAAUCAUUUUUGGAAGAGAUGGUUGAUUAGCAACGAUUGAAGAAAAAAAAAAUGAAAUUGAGUUAGGGCUCGUUCGGUUAGAAUGGAACAGUAUGGGCUGAGCCUUUACAGGUGCCACCGAACCAACAACUUAGCAACAUCGUGUUCGUCCUCUCAAAACAACAGAUUCUUAAAUCACUUUAUUCUUGCCCACUGCGAAUUCCAUUCUUUGCAAGAAUCUGCCAAACACACGCAAGUAGGUAACUUUGAUUAGCUAAAUGGUCCCUCCCGGCAGAUAUAAAAGUCUCCAUGUUAAAGUUAGACCCUGAGACAUUCUUGCUUCAAAGCUAUUCAGAUGCAGG
rnacentral:lncRNA from 1 species